AGUUUGAUUCUGGCUCAGGAUGAACGCUAGCGGCAGGCUUAACACAUGCAAGUCGAGGGGCAUCGGGAGUAGCAAUACUUGCCGGCGACCGGCGCAAGGGUGCGUAACGCGUGAGCAACAUGCCCGUAUCAGGGGGAUAAUCCAUGGAAACGUGGUCUAAUACCCCAUAGUAAUUAUGUAAGGCAUCUUAUAUAAUUUAAAGCUUUGGUGGAUACGGAUUGGCCCGCGUGACAUUAGCUGGAUGGUAAGGUAACGGCUUACCAUGGCUACGAUGUCUAGGGGUUCUGAGAGGAAGGUCCCCCACACUGGGACUGAGACACGGUCCAGACUCCUACGGGAGGCAGCAGUGAGGAAUAUUGGACAAUGGAUGGAAAUCUGAUCCAGCCAUGCCGCGUGCCAGGAAGACGGCCCUAUGGGUUGUAAACUGCUUUUGUAUGGGAGCAAUAAGGGCUACGUGUAGUCCGAUGAGAGUACCAUACGAAUAAGCACCGGCUAACUCCGUGCCAGCCGCGGC
rnacentral:rRNA from 1 species